CCUACGGGUGGCAGCAGUGGGGGAUAUUGGACAAUGGGGGGAACCCUGAUCCAGCGACGCCGCGUGAGUGAAGAAGUAUUUCGGUAUGUAAAGCUCUGUCAGCAGGGAAGAAAGAAAUGACGGUACCUGACCAAGAAGCCCCGGCUAACUACGUGCCAGCAGCCGCGGUAAUACGGAGGAUGCGAGCGUUAUCCGGAUUUAUUGGGUUUAAAGGGUGCGUAGGCGGAGUGUCAAGUCAGCGGUAAACUUUCGGGGCUCAACCCCGUCGUGCCGUUGAAACUGACACCCUUGAGUGAGUGAGAGGUAAGCGGAAUGCGUGGUGUAGCGGUGAAAUGCAUAGAUAUCACGCAGAACGCCGAUUGCGAAGGCAGCUUACCGGCGCUCAACUGACGCUGAGGCACGAAAGUGCGGGUAUCGAACAGGAUUAGAUACCCCUGUAGUC
rnacentral:rRNA from 1 species